UUAUGAUCUUCCUGCCUUUUGCUUCCAAGUCACUGAGAUACAGGUCUGUGCCACAGUGCCAGGCCAGGCUUUAAGUUCUAAACUAAAACUCUAUUGUUUCUAACAAGUUCAUAUACUCAAAACUCCAAAAAUGAGACAAAGUCACAGAAACACAUUUAUCACUAACUAUUCUUGACUGGCAAAAGUCAGUGCUAAACCUAUCAGUUUCAUCCUUAAAGCAUUUGUGCAAAAAUACUAACUUCUAUUUUAUAACUCUUGAAUGACAGACUAUCCAACAAAGAGCAAGCAAAACAGCAUAGGCCACAAGCAAGGGG
rnacentral:lncRNA from 1 species